GCUUGUAGCUCAGGUGGUUAGAGCGCACCCCUGAUAAGGGUGAGGUCGGUGGUUCAAGUCCACUCAGGC
rnacentral:tRNA from 5 species